UCCGCGGGGGCGGACCGGACCCGGACUUGUGCUGGUGAAGACUAUCGCACCGUGAUGUUCCCCAGGGUAGACAGACUCACACCUGACGUGCGCCGGGGUAGACACACUAGUGAAGACAACAGCGCGCGAUUCCCCCUGGGGCAGGUGGAGCGGACCGCCUUCUGCCGGCGUGGAUGUGCUGGCCUCUCUGCCUGCCGGACGGGACGCUCUCUGCCGGGUAAACAGAGCUGGCGCGCCUCUGGGCCUCGAGCGAGCGGCCGCGUUCCCCUCCUCGGGAGUCGGGCGCCAGAGUUGAACGCGCUCUCUCUGGGUUUGCGACACUAACGCCUAGGUUUGCGGAGAACCUCCGAAAACGAAGUAUUCCCCGACCCCGGGAAGCCAGCUCCUUCCCUGUAGCUCCGAGCCGGGGGCUCCGGCUCGUGGAGCACCCGCGGUGUGCGGGGAACGCAGGGGCCUCAGAGCCGCCCGCCCGUCGUCCGGUGCCUCAUCCAGCACGGCGUCCGGACUAGAAGCAGGGGCACUGGCUCAGCCCGCCCACUGCGGGACGGGCCAGUCACUUAGCGAUGAAGUUCAGCCGUGUUGGAGCCGAAGGGCGGCAGGUAUAGGGUGAAGGAAGCUGAGGUGGCGGCCUGAGUUCGGCUCCCUCGCCCAGUACCGGGCUUUGAAUUCCUCUGCUGGCUCCCUGCCUGGCUCCUCUGCUAGGAUUCCCGGAUUCCUCUCGGUGCUGGGGACCUGGGUGCCCCUCCCUCAGCCCCUCCCCCACCUUCUUCUCACCUGCUCACCUGCCUGACGCUCUAGGGACAGCAGCCAUGCUGCGCUGCGUAAACCUCUGCCGUCCUGCCAGGACACACCUCGGGCUGUUGGCAUGCCUCCAGAACGGCGGCUUUGUCGUCCAGGAUCCAGGGGCUGGCAGCAGGGGAGGUCACCAGUGACCUGGAUGCCUGGUCAGGGUGCAGCUCUUACUAGAGAUCUGGGGCACACAGAUGCUGUACCUCUGCUGUGCAGAAGGAAAGCCGGGCCUGCACAGGGUAGUCCGCAUGUGCUCUCCAGCUGCAGUGUCCCGGGAUCUGAGUCCUUUGCUGUGCAUGCAUAGAAACAGGGAUGUUUCCUAAGAAAUUUCCUCCCAAACUUGGACUGUUGAAAUGGUUUGAUUUACUCAGAAGGUACUUACCACCUCCUUUCUGCCAGCCACUGUAUGACACCUGUCAGGUUCCUGGGGGGUGUGACAUUCCAAUGGAGGGAGACAAAACAGUAAACCAAAGAACAGAGAAUCACAUCUGAGUAAGGCAGAUGGCUGAGCCAGGGAAGACUGUGCAGGGACCAGGGAGGGAGCUGAUUUCCAGGCAGAAGGACCCACCUGUGCAGAGGCCCUGAGGUGGGCAGGAACAGAACUGUGUGCUUGAGGAACAACGGGAAGACCAUUGUACCUAAGACACUGUGAACAAGGGCACAGGUGAAGAGACCAGAUGGGAAAGUCUGCAGGGAUAUGUAGUGAUAGAGGUUGAAAAAUCCUAAGUGUUUGGUGCUUGCCCAGUGUUGGUGGAUAUGGCAGUGAAUUCCUGGUCAACAAAUCCCAUCUGGGCACACACCUGAGCGGAGUGCCUGCACUGGGCAGCGGAGGCUUAAAGUCCUCCCCACGGUGCUGAAAGAGCUCAGCUCAGAGGCACCCCAAGUGUAUCAACAUGAGGAUGAAAAUAUGAAUCGUGACCUUUAUACAAAGGAGAGUAGCACGUAAAGUGAAUGAAUACAGAGAAGCCUCAAAAGUGAUGCUGAGUAAAAGGACAGCAAGUUACAAAGGGACCAGAACAGUAUGGUGUCGUUUAGAUCACAGCAAAUAUGUCCGCAGUCACCAAACAUUAAGAGCAGCUGAGGGACAGCAGCCGAGAGAUGCAGUCUCCUUGGACCCAAGGCCAGGCUUUCGCUCUGUCUGCCCUGCUGGUGACAAGAUACUGGCCGCCGACCCUGUUCAUAGGUCACCAUGCACACUGGGCGCUGUUGAUUCGCUGAGAGGGUUUGUGUCCCUGGCAGCCCUGUCCACAUAGCCUGAGGGGAAAUCCCCAUGUCCUGGUUCCCUGACUGAGCUUUUCCAAAAGCACUUAAACAUCUGCUCACUGUGGACAAAGUAGGAAAACAAAGACGAUCCACAGGUGCCUGUCUGAAGCAGCUGAAAGUUUUACUCAAGCACAACAAGAAAAGAGCUGCAUUUU